UAUAACUAGAGAUCAGUGACACAGACUUUUUUGCAACGCCAUCUGGUGACUCUGAGAAAAACUAAUCGAUAAUAAUCGGUAUGUUACACCGGUUACGCGGCUCGAAUCUUCGACUGCGGGGACUGGUCGGAGGUGGUUGAGUACUUGUAAGAGUUCUAUUUGUGCACGGUUGAACGUUGUUUCGUGUAUGCAUCGUUAUUAGUUUGUUAUUUUAAUAUGUCAAACAAUGCCACGUUCCGUUGUGAACAAUUCUGAUGAAGAUCACAAAGCCAAAAACGCUUCCAAGCGCCCUAGAACAUGCGUAGCAGUGGCAGCAUUUGUGACAGAUUCUGCAACGCUCGGACGCAGGUAGUUUGAUCCGGCAUGAUUUCGUUAAUCCUUCUGGCUCAUUGCAAGCAAGUGUUGAAAAAGCGGCAACAACAUUAAUAAGAAGAACUACUCGUAGUCCUGCGAACGCUGCUCCAGAACCAACAAGACCCUUGAGAUUAUGCAGAAAGUUAGGUUUCUCAAGCAUAGGUAAAAAUUCAAAACUAGAAUCGGCACUUGAAAGGUCAAGAAAUAGAAGAUGCUUCACUAGGCACAACCUACAACAUGAUACCUCGCCUGAUUCACGGAAAGUCACAGUUAGAACUAGAUUCAAUUUGUUGUUACAAUGACCUCGAUCGACAAACAAUGUGACACGUUCUUACUUAACUAUGUAUAGCAAACUCAAUUAAGGCAAAUAGUAAGAAGGCUAUAAAGUGCAAAAGCGUUAAAUGGACAUGAUACAUCUUUGCCAAAUAUGCAUCUUCGAAGCGACGGCUAUCACAAGUUUCAGUUAUUCCGUCUGAACUACCUGUAAUUCUUCAUUAAGAGACAGAAGUUGAGAGCAAUUCGAGUAAUUUUUUCUUUUUACCUGUAAUUUAUUAUGAUCGCAAUAUUGGUGGGCCUGUUUAUUGUAUUCCUGUUCACGUUUGUUUCAUUACAAAUUAGCUUUCUUGAUUUCAUUGAUAAACUAUUCUGCCAGAAUUUCUUUAAACUAUCAAAAAGGAAUAAUACAAUGCAGAAUACUUAUUAAAUAUUUUAAUUACAGCUGAUGAUGUGAGUCUGGGUAAAACAUUAACUAUGAUUUCCUUAAUUGCAUGAACUUUACAGAAUGUAGGAAUAGCUGAUGAUACUAAAGCUGAUGAUAUGCAGCUACAAGGUAAAAGGACUAUGUCUAAUUAAUUAAUAUAUUCGAAGACCACUGAAAUCUUGUUAUUAAUUUCGCUAUAAUUCAUUGAUCUGUUUGUUCUUGUGCAGAACCUAAUGGUGGUAGUUUAGUAGUAGGGCUACCUUUACUUGGUCCCGAUUGUAAGAUCAGAUAGAAAAAUACAUUAAAAAAUAUGUACUAUCCAUGAGAGGUUAUCAUGGACGAAUAUAUCAACCGUACAUGUGACCAGGAACAAUGUGGUAAUCACAGGUUAUGCUUUGAUAAAAAUGCGAUUAUAAAAAUGAAUCUGCCAUCACCCUUAGUAAAUUAAGCAUCAUUCCAACAAAAUUUUUUCAAUAAGGUCGAAAUUUUUAUACGAUAUUUAUUUUUUGAGGGUAGUAGUGAAAGCAGAAAAUUACCUGCAGACCAUGUUACUGUGAUUUUUAUUCCUAUUUAUAGGUCAUACACGUUAUUUUUUUGCAUCGAAUAUAGCUCAAGUGGAAUAGAAUUAUACUAAAUGAUGGCCACAAAAUUUGCAAUCAUGAAAGUCGAAAAUCAAGAUCAGCUUGCCAGCUCCACGCACAUAACAGAUGGGUUCUAGCUUCUACAGCUAGACAAAAUAGGAAGCUAGAUCUCCAUUCACUAUUAAAGUAUCUUUAAGUAACUCAAACAAGUACCUAAAGAAAUUCAGGUUUCUGAAUUCUUCAAAUAACUCGAUUCUAAAAUUUUUAUUUUGAAAAAUUAGCAAUAAAAGUAUCAACUGUGAAGAAUUGGUGUUUUAUUCAUAUAUUAUUAACGGAGGUUUUUUUGUUUAUAUUUCAGCUGGUGUUCCAUAACUCAAACAUUGAUCUCCAAAUCUCACCGAUGAAUACAAAUGUCUUGUAAAUCCCACCCGCGCAAGCACACUCAAUCCCUUCAAACCGCGUCGCCACAAAGCUCUGGCAACGGCGGUAAUUGGACAGGUAUUUACUGAAGAUAACCUUGCAGAGCUUCAAAGAUCCUUGAACUCUCGUCGGCAUUCAGAUAAGGUAGCUCAAGAUUCGAAGGUUCUGAAUGUUUCCUUGAAGCUGCAUCAACAGCAAACGCUCGCGUCGCGUCUUUGGAAAGAGAAGCAAACAUGCCGUGGUGGAAUUCUAGGUAAGUAUUGAUUUCACGAGUUGCCAAUUUUCAUAUUGAAUUAUCAACAAAAGCUUGACUCCUUAAAACAUUAAGUAAAAUGGUAAAAAAGGUUUUCCAAAUGAUUUAUGUGCGCCUUGAGAUUUGAAGAUUUAACUGACCACGAAUGAUCUAAACGCAAUAUUUGCGAUUAUUGGUAAUAAAUGUGGAAACAAAGUUCCAGGACGAUUGCUCAUACUUAUGCGUUCGGACAAAGGUUCGGGCAUCACGCUUUCCGAGAUGCAAUUCGUGCAUAUGAUUUUUCUUAGCUUUCUGAUGUAAAAACUGUUCAAAAAGCAUUUUGUCGUAGACUAGCUGCUCUUGAGGGUCCAGUUCAAUGCAAAUUUCUCGAAGAAUUUUAUCUGGCAAUGGAGCAUGCCAUCGGUAUUCUGUGAUUCGAGUUUUGUUUUCCUCAGUAGCACAAUUUGUAUGACAGUCCCCAGUGGGUCCUGUCCAGAAGUGUCAUUGUCCGCAAUCCACCGCUCCCAGAACGGUAGAUCAUUGAAUAGGGAAAAUUUCAGAUACUUUAGUGGAGAAUAGAAAUCUAAUUUCCUAUUUUGUACUGAUGUAGCAGUUAAGACCUAUCUGUAGUUUGCGAGAAGUUGGCAAGUCAGAUCUUGAUUUUCGACUUAUAAAAUUGUAAAUUAUGUGGCCAUCAUUCGGUAUAACUUUAUUUCACUUGAUCUAUAUCCACUGUAAAAAAGUAACUGGCAUGGCGUACAACUAUGAAUAAAAAUCACCCUUGCGUGCUUUGCAGGUAUUUUUGGGUUUUCAUUCCUACUCUCAUAAAAUGAAUAUCGUAUAAAAAUAUCAAAUUUUGUUGGAAUGAUGCAUACUUUAUCAAGGGUGGUGGCGAAUUCAUUUUUGUAAUCUGUUUUUACCAAACCAUAACUUGUGAUUACCGUAUUGUUCUUGGUCAAGCUCGGUUGUUCGGUUGAUAAUAUUUGCCCAUGGCAAACUGUCAUAGAUAGCACAUAUUUUGUAAUGUGUUUUUCCAUCUGAUUUUUCCAUCAGGAAACAAGCCAAGGUAGUCAUACCAUUAAAAUAUUACCAUUAAGUUCUGCACAGGAUCAAUCAGAUAUUAUUUAAUCAUAGCGAAAUUAAUAAAAAGAUUCCAGUGGGCUUCAAAAAAUAUUAUUUAGUUAAAAUUGGUCAUUUUACCUUGUAGUUGCAUAUCAUCAUCAUCUUCAGUAUCAUUAUCUAUGUCUACAAUCUGUAAAAUUUAUGUAAUAAGAGGAAUCGUCAUUAACGGUUAGCCUAAACCCAUAUCAUCAGCUGAAAUUAAAAUAUUUAACAAGUAUUCUGCAUUGUAUUAUUCCUUUUUGAUAGUUUAAAGAAAUCCUGGCAAAGUUGAAAUCUUCAAAUCUCAAGGCUCACAUACAUCAUUUGGAAAACUUUAUUCAUCAUGUUAGUUAAUAUUUUAAGGAGUAACGUUUUCUUCGAUAAUUUAAUGUAAGUAUGGGCAACUCGUUAAAUCAAUAUUUACCUAGGUGUCCGCCUCUCGGUUUUUGCUGCUCCCUCCAAAGAAGCCAGGAAAGUGUUUUUAUUUUGGUGCGGUUAUAGGCAAACUUCUAGAGCAGUUGGAUCUGCAGCUACUUCACUCGCAUUUAGAGAAUUACAUAACGAUUGUUGCAAAUCUCUAAUAUUGUCUGUCGUGAAAGCUUUUUUUUUCUGCACUUGUUAGAGCUUUUUGGCAAUGCUUUUCGACAGCGAGCGGCAGGAGCGAAAAUUUGUGGGGAUUGGGUCCGCUUGUUGUUUUUUCUCUAAGAGAUGCGAAGGAUGCGGAAAUGUUUUCUAGAUAAUCUUUCAUUUGACAGUGACGGUAGUGUACAAUCUGUGCUUCAUUCGUAUUAACGUUUGAGGUCACCACCAUCCGAAACAUCAAUAAAAAAACAUCCGUCAACAAUAAAUAAAUAAAACACCAAUUCUUCACAGUUCAUACUUUUACAGCUAAUUAUUCAAAACAGAAAUUUUAGAAUUGAGUCAUUUGAAGAAAUCAGAAAAACUAAUUUAUUUAUAUAUACUUGUUUGAAUUACUAAUAAUAUAAACCUUCGACCUUAUCUUUUUUUCAACAAGAGACAGAGCAGUGUUAACAUUCUCCGAAGUAGAAUUGAUUGUUAAACAGCUGCUGGAACUCAAUUAAGUAACUUUUUUUUAAAAAAAGUGGAUUCUCGUCGCGAAUCGCAUUUCUCGAUUUGAAUAAAUUCUAAUCGAGGAAAAUUCAAAGCAUUCGUGAACAAACGAUCUGUCCUUAAAAAGUCGCCGAUGCGAAGCAUUGGUCCUAAUAAAAAAAAAAUAUAUAUUUUAUUAAUGCCAUUGUAACGAUGCCACAUUUAUACGAUUAUGUGAAAAUACAAAUUGAAGUUCUAUUUCUACAAUCUAUAACGUUAAUGCGACUAUAGAAUUCACGGCACGUAAUGUUAAAAGGAAUAUUGAGCUUUCAACCUGUACUAAAGAAUUUGAACGUGUUCUUAAAAAAUCACACAAACUCAGCAGAAACUUUACAAAAAAUCUUCAAAGCAUUCUAAUAAUACUGUUCUAAAAGAAAAAUAUAGAACAUUCUGAAAUAAAUUCAAAGCUAUAAUAACUACAGCUACGAAUACUUUUGAGGAAGGCAAAGUUAAAUCUUUUCAAAAUGUUAUCAAGAAAAUCUGGGAAUGUGUGAAUAAUAAACUAUAAUAGGCAAAAGUGAAAAAGACAAGGUGAAUAUUAUUGACAAAAUCUCUGAUACUAUCGGAGAUACUACUGUGGAUAAAAAUGUGUUUGUUGAUAUUUUUAAUGAAUAUUUUUUAAUCGUGUACUCGUCAAUGUAUUAUUUUCUCUUAUUAGUAUUAUUGAACCUCUGCAGAAUACGUGUAUAUUGUUACGUGCAUUGUGACGCGGUAUUUUACACUUCGUACUCCACUGUAGCCAAUAUUCCAAAGAAACGCCUAGCUAAUUUUAAGUGAGGUUUAUUUAUUAAGCUAAUAUUUAUCUAUUUUCUAAUUUUGUAUCCCACUAUGAGAACUAUCCACAAGAACAUCUCUUCGAAGAAUCGUAUAUCAUAUCGCGGAGGUCACGGACCUGGUCAACAACUUCAUACCGGCAGUCACAAAGGGCAGAAUACCGCCAACCCGACUCCCGAUGGAUGCCUACCGAAAUUGUCGACAGGGUCAUACCAUUGCAUGCGUAGUGCAGGACGCAGAUCUUAAAUUGUUUAGACUUCGGCCAGGAACCCAACCACCGAAAUCGAAAGUCGCUAUCGCCACUCGGAUGCGCGUCGCAAUUGGUGGACCACGUCAGCCUGGCGGACUUUGUCUGAAUAUCCGCGAUAUGCAACGAGGAUCAUUCUCUUCAGUUAUCAUCGUUUUAUCUACAAGGUCUUCACAUGCAUCGGAGUCGCAAUACCGUGAGGGGUGAACCCCCUCCCCCUCACACAUAUCGCUCCAUGGAUCGAUAUUUCAAUAUAUUAGUACGAAUGUGGAAAAAACGAGCGAAGGUCGACUUUGCCGCCCGCUUUACCCGUUGACCCGGCUCACGUGACUUGCUGACCCAAUUACCCUAAUGCAAGGAACAUCGCGAAUCACUUAUCAACAGCACGCCGAAAAUCGACCGGGAUUGUCAGGAUCAUCGUUCGAUUCAGUACACUAAACGUUCAGUCCACCUAUAAGUCUGCAGACGUGCUUCCAUUCAGUAAUUCUACACUAAUUUUUCGCUAUUGGUACUUUUUUUCUUCCAUCAGUUCAGUUCUUUCUCUCCUCUUCUGUUCUCUUCUGUUUCAUCUGUUAUCUCAUUCCUGUUUUUACAUCUCCUCUACAGUUUCGUAAGUGAGAUUUUUCUUUUUGUCUACUUCGUAAAGCCACGAAGUUACUUGUGUUACAUGUUUUCCUUGCAGUUUGCUCCCGUAAGCAUGUGCCGCGUGUGCGAUCUUAUAUCACUGCGUGGUAUAUAACACGUCGUUUUUUGACUUUGGAGUAUUGCGCCGUACCAAACAACACCUUUCUUCCUAUUUUUUCUGACGUCUAUUCUCUGAAUAUUUCUUUGAUCAUCUUAUUUCUGUAACUGUUUGCUUUGAUUCUUUUAUCACCUGACUGAGUUGUAUUUCUUGCUUUCUGUAUCAUUUCUAAUAUCUUCUGCUUUGAUGAUACUAUUCUGUCGCUAUAUUGUAUUGCUUUCGCUUGGAUUGUCAACAUUUAUUCUAAGGAUCUUAGAUUGUGCAUUGCAUGCUAGCCUAUCUUUAACUGAUUAUUGUAAACCUUGCUGAUUGUUGCUCCGAAUGAUAGUAUCGAGAACACACACCUCUGUCUCUCGCUCGUCACACGCUACCUGUCUCGUUAAUUUGUUAUAUCUCACUUUUACUUUUUUCCCUGGCUGUAUUUGAAUUUCUUGAGUUGUCCAACUGCAUCUAAACUUCUCCAAUUGUUUGACUGUAAUUAAUCUUCUGCAUUUUGUUAAUAUACUGGAUACUGUUACCGAUUUACCUAUUUUCUUGUACUUUAUCCAUUGGAUACGACCCCUCCCAUGUACCGUUAUCUUUUCUAAACUGAGUUAGUUCUGCAAAACUGUCGUAGAACCUGAUCUUGCCUUUUCUCUGCUUUUCUUUUCCCUAAUUAUCUAACCGGGAUUCCCGCCCUCGAAAUUAUCUUAAAUAUCGUACCUAGGAAAUUCUGCGUCACAGUAUAUAUUUACUUAAUAACCGGAUUAAUGCAUAAUAAUAAUAAUAAAAUAGUAAGACGAUACUGUGAUACUCAGAUUGAGUAAAAUAUAUUUUCCGCGUUUACGUUUGAAAAGAAAGAAGGAAAUAUAUAUAUAUAUAUAUAUAUAGAUACGUGAUCAUCUUUUACGUGAAUUUUGAUUUUUUCUGAAUAUCUGUAAACUUUUAACGCAUACGUACCUACGUUACGUAUCUAGAUUUUGGAGAAAAUGAAGAAGCGUUAGAUUCAAUGGGAAUAUGGGCUCGAACUAGGUAAAGAAUGGAAACUCAAAAGCACUGGCAACGAUUAUGGAUACGUCUAUUGUAGUCUAUUUGAUGUAGAAAUUAUAAAGUAAGAGACGCACGCGCAGACAAAAAUUCGUCGUAAUAAAUAUAUAGAAUAAUAUUAUGAUCAAAUAGUCAUGAAGAAAUUAUGCAGUUACGUAUAGGUAUGUAUAACUUACGUGUCAUCGAAUUUAGUCACACGAUGAGGACAUUUAAUUAAAACUGGCUACACAGGUAACAAGGUAAACUGCAAUUAGCAGCUGCAGGUGAAUUAAUCGCCAAUCGUGUAUCGUUUACACUGA
rnacentral:lncRNA from 1 species